rnacentral:lncRNA from 1 species
CUGUGGAUAAUGCCUUCUAUUCCCCAGCAGAUCUAGGGGUUGCCUAUCCCCAGCAGGCCUAUAUUUGCCGUUUUCCCCAGUUGAGUUCUCAGCUGAGUUUGAAGAUGGGUUAUACCCACUGAGUUGGAAGGAUGUUGUAUCUCCCAGCGGAGGUAUCAGUGGAGUAGUUUAUCCCCCAGCAGUCUGGUUUGAGGUGUCACCAUCCCCAGCAGUCUAGUUUGAAGUACUGUUA